CCUACGGGUGGCAGCAGUGGGGAAUAUUGCACAAUGGGGGAAACCCUGAUGCAGCGACGCCGCGUGGGUGACGAAGUAUCUCGGUAUGGAAAGCCCUAUCAGCAGGGAAGAAGAUGACAGUACCUGAGUAAGAAGCCCCGGCUAACGACGUGCCAGCAGCCGCGGUGACACGUAGGGGGCACGCGUUAUCCGGAUUUACUGGGUGUAAAGGGAGCGUAGUUGGCAUGGAAAGACAGAUAGGAAAACCCGGGGCUUAACCCCGCGGAUUGCUUUUGGAACUGUCAGGCUGGAGUGCAGGAGGAGCAGGCGGAAUGCCUGGUGUAGCGGUGAAAUGCGUAGAUAUCAGGAGGAACACCGGUGGCGAAGGCGGCCUGCUGGACUGUAACGGACACUGAGGCUCGAAAGCGUGGGGAGCAAACAGGAUUAGAUACCCGUGUAGUC
rnacentral:rRNA from 1 species